GACGAACGCUGGCGGCGUGCCUAAUACAUGCAAGUCGAACGCAGUGGGGACGGGUGCGUAACACGUGGGUAACCUCCCAUCAGAGGGGAUAACACUUGGAAACAGGUGCUAAACCGAUACUGAUGGAUGGACCCGCGGGGCAUUAGCUAGUUGGUGAGGUAACGGCUCACCAAGGCCACGAUGCAUAGCGGACCUGAGAGGGUGAUCGGCCACACUGGAACUGAGACACGGCCCAGACUCCUACGGGAGGCAGCAGUAGGGAAUCUUGGGCAAUGGACGAAAGCCUGACCGAGCCAUGCCGCGUGAGUGAAGAAGGUUUUCGGGUCGUAAAGCUCUUUUGUUGGAGAAGCGGUAUCUAACCAGGAAGCAACGGCUAACUCCGUGCCAGCAGCCGCGGUAAUUC
rnacentral:rRNA from 1 species